rnacentral:misc_RNA from 1 species
AACUGGAGGAGAUGAGACAUGUACGAAUUGCGAAUUGCGAAAUGCGAAUUGCGGAUUAAUUCUUCAUUGCGAAUCGCGGAAUGCGGAUUAGGGGAAGCUCCAUUGGAACGCCCGAGGCGGCGUCAAUUCGAACUCCGCAUUUCGCAAUGACGAAUCGAUUCGCAAUUCGAACUCCGCAUUUCGAAUUUGAGUGCGGCUCCUCUGCCGCUGCGAUUCUAUGACGAGACGGCU